rnacentral:rRNA from 1 species
AGAGUUUGAUCCUGGCUCAGAACGAACGCUGGCGGCAGGCCUAACACAUGCAAGUCGAGCGCGCCUUCGGGUGAGCGGCGGACGGGUUAGUAACGCGUGGGAACGUGCCCUUCUCUACGGAAUAGCCUCUGGAAACGGAGAGUAAUACCGUAUACGCCCUUUGGGGGAAAGAUUUAUCGGAGAAGGAUCGGCCCGCGUUAGAUUAGGUAGUUGGUGGGGUAACGGCCUACCAAGCCUACGAUCUAUAGCUGGUUUUAGAGGAUGAUCAGCGACACUGGGACUGAGACACGGCCCAGACUCCUACGGGAGGCAGCAGUGGGGAAUCUUAGACAAUGGGGGCAACCCUGAUCUAGCCAUGCCGCGUGAGUGAUGAAGGCCUUAGGGUCGUAAAGCUCUUUCGCCUGUGAUGAUAAUGACAGUAGCAGGUAAAGAAACCCCGGCUAACUCCGUGCCAGCAGCCGCGGUAAUACGGAGGGGGUUAGCGUUGUUCGGAAUUACUGGGCGUAAAGCGCGCGUAGGCGGAUUAGAAAGUUGGGGGUGAAAUCCCGAGGCUCAACCUCGGAACUGCCUCCAAAACUGCUAGCCUAGAGUUCGAGAGAGGUGAGUGGAAUUCCGAGUGUAGAGGUGAAAUUCGUAGAUAUUCGGAGGAACACCAGUGGCGAAGGCGGCUCACUGGCUCGAUACUGACGCUGAGGUGCGAAAGUGUGGGGAGCAAACAGGAUUAGAUACCCUGGUAGUCCACACCGUAAACGAUGAAUGCCAGUCGUCGGAUAGUAUACUAUUCGGUGACACACCUAACGGAUUAAGCAUUCCGCCUGGGGAGUACGGUCGCAAGAUUAAAACUCAAAGGAAUUGACGG